ACGGCUCAGUAACACGUGGAUAACCUGCCCUCAGGUCCGGCAUAACCUCGGGAAACUGAGGAUAAUUCCGGAUAUCCCUUUUCUGCUGGAAGGCUUAAAGGGACAAAGAAUUUCGCCUGAGGAUGGGUCUGCGGCCUAUCAGGUUGUAGGGGGUGUAACGUACCCUCUAGCCGACAACGGGUACGGGUUGUGAGAGCAAGAGCCCGGAGAUGGAUUCUGAGACAUGAAUCCAGGCCCUACGGGGCGCAGCAGGCGCGAAAACUUUACAAUGCAGGAAACUGUGAUAAGGGAACACCGAGUGCUCGCAUCAAAUGCGGGCCGUCCACAUACCUAAAUCGUAUGUGUUAGCAAGGGCCGGGCAAGACCGGUGCCAGCCGCCGCGGUAAUACCGGUGGCCCGAGUGGUAGCCGCUUUUAUUGGGUCUAAAGGGUCCGUAGCCUGUCUGAUCAGUCCAUUGGGAAAUCCGGAUGCUCAACAUCCGGGCUUCCAGUGGAUACUGUCAGACUUGGGAUCGGGGGAGGUAAGAGGUACUACA
rnacentral:rRNA from 1 species